rnacentral:rRNA from 1 species
GAUGAACGCUGGCGGCGUGCUUAACACAUGCAAGUCGAACGGAAAGGCCCUACUUGCAGGGUCCUCGAGUUGCCAACGGGCGAGUAACACAUGGGUGAUUUGCCCUCCACUUCGGGAUAAGCCUGGGAGACUGGGUCUAAUACCUGAUAGCAGCUAUUUUUAGCGUGAUGGUUGGAAAGUUUUUUCGGUGUUGGAUGAGCUAGCGGCCUAUCAGCUUGUUGGUGGGGUAAUGGCGUACCAAGCCGGCGACGGGUAGCGGGACUGAGAGAGUGGAAGGCCAUACUGGGACUGACGGGAGGCAGCGGUUGGGACGGGAGGAAAAAGGGGGGAAUAUUGAACCAGGGGCGCAAGGCGGGUGCAGAAGGGCCGCGUGGGGGAUAACGGUCUUCGGGUUGAAAAAUCGUUUCGCUAGGGACGAAGCUUUUUGUGACGGUACCUAAAGAAGAAGCACCGGCUAACUACGUG